rnacentral:lncRNA from 1 species
AAUUACUCCUCAGCUGCUUGUUCUUGUUGAGCUACUAUUGGCCUACCAAAUUCUACAUUAACAAAUUAAACAAAAAUAUUAGAAUGAUUAGUUAAGAGUGAAAUAACUAAAACAACAUAUCAAAAUAUAGUAGUAAGAUAUUACCUGCUUCAAUAACUUCAUAGAAUUCAGUUUCCUCCUGAGUAGGUUGUAUUAUCCGUUCUCCUAAUAGAGUUGAGCGAAGCCAAUUUUGAGUGCAAAUCAAUGACUCAACAGUUUUAUGAGUUAAAGAACUUCUAAAAGGAUCAAGAACAC